UACGAACUGUGCGAACGUUAUUCGGAAUCACUGGGCUUAAAGGGUGCGUAGGCGGCGGCACAAGUCAGGUGUGAAAUCCCCCGGCUCAACCGGGGGACAGCGCUUGAAACUAGGUCGCUCGAGUGAGGCAGGGGUAUGUGGAACUUCCGGUGGAGCGGUGAAAUGUGUAGAUAUCGGAAGGAACGCCAGCGGCGAAAGCGGCAUACUGGGCCUUGUCUGACGCUGAGGCACGAAAGCUAGGGGAGUGAACGGG
rnacentral:rRNA from 1 species